GAUGAACGCUGGCGGCGUGCCUAAUACAUGCAAGUCGAGCGAACAGAUAAGGAGCUUGCUCCUUUGACGUUAGCGGCGGACGGGUGAGUAACACGUGGGUAACCUACCUAUAAGACUGGAAUAACUCCGGGAAACCGGGGCUAAUGCCGGAUAACAUUUAGAACCGCAUGGUUCUAAAGUGAAAGAUGGUUUUGCUAUCACUUAUAGAUGGAUCCGCGCCGUAUUAGCUAGUUGGUAAGGUAACGGCUUACCAAGGCAACGAUGCGUAGCCGACCUGAGAGGGUGAUCGGCCACACUGGAACUGAGACACGGUCCAGACUCCUACGGGAGGCAGCAGUAGGGAAUCUUCCGCAAUGGGCGAAAGCCUGACGGAGCAACGCCGCGUGAGUGAUGAAGGUCUUCGGAUCGUAAAACUCUGUUAUUAGGGAAGAACAAAUGUGUAAGUAACUGUGCACGUCUUGACGGUACCUAAUCAGAAAGCCACGGCUAACUACGUG
rnacentral:rRNA from 1 species